rnacentral:misc_RNA from 1 species
GGAAGAUAUCAUUAAAAAAUGUGAACUAGAUGCUAUUUCGUUGGGUCUGUUCCAUAAUAACUGUGCUUAUGCUAAAGUUACAUAUAAUGAAGAUUCAAAUGAAAAAAUUGAAGCAAUUUGAUAUUUUGUUUUAAUAUCAAAUUCACAAGAGAUUGAAGGUAUCUGCAUUUUGAUGCUAUACAUUAUGAUACAAAAAUCAUCCUUGUUUUUUGCUUUCUUUUUUCCUUUUAAGCAAUUUAGCAUAUGAGAUUAUGAAGUAUAUUACUUGCAGAUGAGAGAAUCAUUUUAAAGUUUAUCUUUUAGUUCUAAGGAGACUUCACAAUUUUUGAAAAUGAUAUAUAGUUGCGCUCAGUCCACAUGAUUCUCUUGCAUUGUUGUUCGCUGGUCUA